GCAGGGCUCAGUGGCCCAUGCUUGUAGUUCUAGCUACGCAGGAGGCUGAGGUAGGACGAUCACUCGAACCCAGGAGUUCUGGAUUGUAGUACGCCAUGCCGGCAGGGUGUCUGUACCAAGUUUCACAUCAAUAUGGUGAACUCCCAGAAGUGGGGGACCACCAGAUUGCCUAAGGAAGGGUGAAUUGGCCCAGGGCAGAAACAGAGCAGGUCAAAACUCCCAUGCUGAUCAGCAGUGGGAUCGUGCCUGUGAUUAGCCACUGCACUCCAGCUUGAGCAACAAAGCGAGACCUUGUCUCU
rnacentral:SRP_RNA from 1 species